CAACCAAAAAGGCUAAAAGAAAUGAAUAAACCAAACCAAAAGCAGAAAGCAAAACGCAAAACGCAGGCCUUUCAACUUCUCUGAGCAAAAGCAGGAAACUUUGAUGGAUAUCGGGCAGAGAAGCGGGGAGAAGACAGAUUGAAACCUCUAUACCAAAAAACAACUUCGAAAGAAACACAUCUAAGGAGGAAUGAUGCACCUCCGGUCUUCAUCGGCUUGAACUUCAACAUGGCGCGGAGCUUCCUCAAUCCAGAAGGUGUCCUGUAGAAUCUCGACCAUCGCCGGCCGCCAAAAGGUGCGCCGCCAUAUUUCCCCUCUGAGGAGUGAAGACAAAACGACAUGUAACCAACGCUUCAGCACGUUUCUGUGCCUCCCAAAUGAGAGCACUCACCUCCGAGAGAUCGAUAUUUGGUGAAGCAAGCUUGGAGAUUAUUGAUCUUGAGUCCCCUUCAACAAUAACUUCACGAAAACCCAAAUCCGCAGCAAAGGAAAGUGCAUGGACGGUCGCGGUGGCUUCUGCAACAAACGCUCGCAUCAAAAUUGACUUUAAUCAUGUUCACGGGUGGAGGAUGCCAGCCCACUGACGGAGCAAUGGACGUGCCAUGAAGGCGAACAUUUGCUGCUGAGAAUUCGUUACAGUGAGCACGAAUGAAGGGAAUAAUAAGAAAAAAGGAUUCUUUGGGAAGUAAUGUCGCUGUAUCACACGUUGUUAAAACAUAUUGAAAUGCCUUGACAUUUCCGGCGCAGAAAAAGAAAAAAAUAUUUAUGCAUAAGGACAGUUGGCACUGGACAGUUGUCUCUGCACGUGAAGGACUGUUGUAAUUGCCUGCCAGAGCUGCCAAAGGACCACUGCCACUUGAAGGA